rnacentral:antisense_RNA from 1 species
AGUUCCCGUUCUGCAGCUCCCCGUUCACGUUCUGCAUGGACAGGAUCUCCAACUCGAACUGACCCGAGGCCCCACACACCUGCCGGCGAGGGAAGGAGGUUGGACCAUAUAUUAUGGGAGCACCUUUCGCAAGGAUGAACUAUUCAGUCUGGAUGGAUGGGAAUAAUUCAGCUGGGGAUUUGGAGGCCCUAAAAGGCAGUAUAGCCAAUGGACAGGUGAUCCCAGGUACCUGCAUGAGUGGAGGCAGGCCCUUCCUGCAGACCUGCACUGAACUAUAACAUGGGCAUACAGGGCUGGACUGAGUGAUCAAUAGAAUACUGUAGAGGCAACAACAUGUGGCUUCUGAGGAAGCAUUGUAGCCUCUUGGUUUGUUCAUGCUGUGGAAGCCAGCUGCCAUGUCAAGAGGAUGCUCAAGCAGCCCUGUGGAAAGGCCCAUAUGCAACUCUCAGAAAGCAGAGUCUAUGUCCCUGUCCCCAGAAUCUGG